rnacentral:lncRNA from 1 species
UUAGGGCCUGCGCGCGGCACCCGGUCUGCCUAGGUCCUAUGCUAUAAGCCCUGUGUGCUUAGGGCCUGGGCGUGGCACCUAGCGCGCCAAGGCCCUUUCGCACAUGACAAGAGGGCUGUGCACCUGCAUGAUAGCCUGCAGCGUGCCGUCACUGCCAAUGGAGGAGGCCUUCCUCCCUUGUUUUUUGUGUUGAAUAUCUUUUUCUCCUA